rnacentral:lncRNA from 1 species
GUGACGGCGGUGCAGAAACGGGGUCUCUGCUUGCCAUGUUGGUGGGAGCUGUGGUGGAUCUCCAGCAGAGAAACCCCAGUGGAGGAAAGCAGCUCCUCAACAGCCAUCUGUCACCUAGCCAUGUGUGCACACUGCUUCAUGAGGAAGGCACAGCCACGGGCAGAUACUCGCUCAGCUUCUCCACCAUCUUCUGAAAGAAAGGGAACAGCACACAUGUGAAAACGGCCUGGAAAAAAAUGGUGUGGCUUCUGGAUGAGGAUUUAACAGAAGGCAAACUGGAGUAGUUAUGGAAAUGGGAAAAUGUUUAUAGGGUGGUCUGAAAUGAGGCCCUCAAAAAUGAUAGAAGAGACCUGCAGAUGUUUAUAUCACCAUAUGCUCGACCUCAUGAGUUCUGACAUUGUUUCUUGAUUACAUGUUCCCAUCCUGUCCCUCUACAAAACCUGUGACUGAGUGCAGCUGGGGCUGCCCUUGGGGGGGACGUGGAGGUGGAAGGUGACACGGCCACCUCCCCUCACCCCAAGAGCCAGGAAGAGGCAUGAGGAGCACGGCAGGGAUCUGCUGGAGGAGGGAACCAUCCAGGAAUCACACGGGAGAAUCACAGAAUCAUAGGAUUGUCUCAGUUGGAAGGGACCUUUCAGAUCAUGGAGUCCAACCAUCAACCCAACACUGACCAAACCACCCAUCGUCUGCCUGGAUUUUAAAUACCUCCAGGGUGCUGGGGGGCUCUCCCCACCCUGAGCUGGGGACGACAAAGGCAACUGGGAGGAAACCUUCUGCUCCUCCUGCUGGGACAGCCCGGUGCUGGGACAAAGCUGCCACCCAUUUCACUGGAAACACACAAAUUCAGCCCAUCUAAAAUUAUGACCUGCUGUUCCCCCAUCUCCUGCAGAGCCAGGAAAGAGAAGGGGACGCUGCCACAGGAACCUGUAGCCCCUGUAAAGCUGACUCAGCCACUGGCCAUUGGUUUCUGUCCAUUGAUUCCAUCUGUACCCAUCAACAUCAUCCCAUGUUGGUGGUGGCCAUGGCCCCAAGCCCACCCCGCUGCUCUUCGUUGGUGUGUGAUCAUUGUGGGCAACCACCUUUGGCUUCACUGCUGGAAAAAAGAAAAGGAAAACCCCAUGGUUUUGGACACAGAGGGUGUCUUCAACUGGUUCUUCUGUUUCCUGGUGUCAUCACCCAGAGGUGCAGCCAUGGAAAGGAAAACCAGCACGGCACUGGAGCGGCGCAGCCCAGUCCUGCCGCGGUGACGUUAGAGCUCCCCUUACAAAAAAAACCCCACUGCAGUGAAAUGGGAAGGGGCUGGUUUGAAAUGGGAAGCUCAGCACUUCCUCAGGCUAUGGAACAACUCAACUUCACUGAAAAUAAAAUAUAAAUUAUGGAAGUUUAAAUGUUUCUA